UUCAUAAAUUGGUUGGUUGGCAAUCACACCUAAUUUGUCUCAACAUGGCUGCUAUAACUUCAGUAAGACUCAGUCAAAAAGCGUUAGACGUGGAUUUCUAGCACUGGAUAUGGUGGCGAGGAUUAUAGCUAUCAUGCGCACACACAUGGGAACGUCACUUCAUCGGAUGAUUAUGGAUUCAUUGGGUGAAAAAGGAUGAUGAGAUUUCUGGGCAUUAUAGGUAGUAACCAAGUUCUGUAAAAGACCUAUGCUGAUGGGUUGUGGCAUUCUGUGUUAUGCCUCAUCUUUUGAUAUUAUUUUUUUUCAUUAUACGAUAGAACAGAGAAAAAUAUGUUUUUAAUUUCUAAAAAUAUUCUGAAAGGUUAGUUGACUUCUUAUAAAAAAAUUUGUGUUU